rnacentral:lncRNA from 1 species
GGUUUUCCGUGCAUUAAGGUCCCUACUGUUGGAAGUGAAGACUUUCACCAGGGUAUACAAUGAAAGGGUAUGGUGAAUUUUAAUCUGCUAUGGCUGCCCGUUAAUUUUAGCUCCUUAUAACAGACAAACGAGGAAAAGAAGACAUGAAGGCAAGUUACUCUCAGGAAUAGAAACUCUUUGAAAUCAAGGGUACCAUGGAUCCGCUAAUGUGCUUCCAUCCAGUAUUCUUCUGUCCACUAUGGCAAGAUGGUACUAGACAAACAGCAAUCACAGUCAGGAAUGACAUUUGGACCAUAAAAAAACCUCCUCAGAGAUAAACACGGAGUCACAGAACAGGCCACACACUUUGCAGACUGGUGUAAGAUGAGAGCGA